rnacentral:rRNA from 1 species
GAUGAACGCUGGCGGUAUGCUUAACACAUGCAAGUCGAACGGACUCUUCGGAGUUAGUGGCGGACGGGUGAGUAACGCGUGAGAAUCUGGCUUUGGGUUCGGGACAACCACUGGAAACGGUGGCUAAUACCGGAGGUGCCGAGGGGUAAAAGAGAAAUUGCCUGAAGAUGAGCUCGCGUCUGAUUAGCUAGUUGGUGAGGUAAAGGCUCACCAAGGCAGCGAUCAGUAGCUGGUCUGAGAGGAUGACCAGCCACACUGGGACUGAGACACGGCCCAGACUCCUACGGGAGGCAGCAGUGAGGAAUUUUCCGCAAUGGGCGAAAGCCUGACGGAGCAAUACCGCGUGAGGGAAGAAGGCUCGUGGGUUGUAACCAUCUUUUCUUAGGGAAGAACAAAAGGACGGUACCUAAGGAAUCAGCAUCGGCUAACUCCGU